rnacentral:piRNA from 1 species
UCCUGUUGACUAAGCCGGACUGAUCGUGUU